rnacentral:snRNA from 1 species
CAUACACACCUAUCAAAAACUUAA